UACAGAGACUGCAAGCGUUAUUCGGAUUCACUGGGCGUAAAGGGUGCGCAGGCGGCCGUGUGUGUGAGGCGUGAAAGCCCGGGGCUUAACCCCGGAAUUGCACCUCAAACUACAUGGCUAGAGCAUUGGAGAGGGUAGCAGAAUUCAUGGUGUAGCAGUGAAAUGCGUAGAUAUCGGGAGGAACACCAGUGGCGAAGGCGACUACCUGGCCUGUUCUUGACGCUGAGGCGCGAAAGCUAGGGGAGCAAACGGG
rnacentral:rRNA from 1 species